rnacentral:rRNA from 1 species
GACAGAGGGUGCAAACGUUGUUCGGAAUCACUGGGCGUAAAGGGCGUGUAGGCGGGACGGUAAGUCGGGCGUGAAAUCCCUAGGCUCAACCUAGGAACUGCACUCGAAACUACCAUUCUUGAGUGUCGGAGAGGAAAGCGGAAUUCCUGGUGUAGAGGUGAAAUUCGUAGAUAUCAGGAGGAACACCAGUGGCGAAGGCGGCUUUCUGGACGAUAACUGACGCUGAGACGCGAAAGCGUGGGGAGCAAACAGG